rnacentral:tRNA from 1 species
GGCGUGGUAGCUCAGGUGGUAAGAGCGUCGGAUUCAUAACCCGGAGGCCGAGGGUUCGACUCCCUCCCACGCUA